GAAUUCGCCCUUAGAGUUUGAUCCUGGCUCAGGACGAACGCUGGCGGCGUGCUUAACACAUGCAAGUCGAACGAAGCUUGAUGAUUGAUUUCUUCGGAAAGAAAUUCGAUAUGACUGAGUGGCGGACGGGUGAGUAACGCGUGAGCAACCUGCCCUUCAGAGGGGGAUAGCGUCUGGAAACGGACGGUAAUACCGCAUAACGUACAAAGGCCGCAUGACCAUUGUACCAAAACUGAGGUGCUGAAGGAUGGGCUCGCGUUGGAUUAGAUAGUUGGUGGGGUAACGGCCUACCAAGUCGGCGAUCCAUAGCCGGACUGAGAGGUUGAACGGCCACAUUGGGACUGAGACACGGCCCAGACUCCUACGGGAGGCAGCAGUGGGGAAUACUGCACAAUGGGGGAAACCCUGAUGCAGCAACGCCGCGUGAAGGAAGACGGUUUUCGGAUUGUAAACUUCUGUUCUUAGUGAAGAUAGUGACGGUAGCUAAGGAGCAAGCCACGGCUAACUACGUGCCAGCAGCCGCGGUAAUACGUAGGUGGCAAGCGUCGUCCGGAAUUACUGGGUGUAAAGGGAGCGCAGGCGGGGAGCCAAGUCAGCUGUGAAAACUACAGGCUUAACUUGUAGACUGCAGUUGAAACUGGUUUUCUUGAGUGAAGUAGAGGUUGGCGGAAUUCCGAGUGUAGCGGUGAAAUGCGUAGAUAUUCGGAGGAACACCGGUGGCGAAGGCGGCCAACUGGGCUCUAACUGACGCUGAGGCUCGAAAGUGUGGGGAGCAAACAGGAUUAGAUACCCUGGUAGUCCACACUGUAAACGAUGAUUGCUAGGUGGUGGGGGGUCUGAACCCCUUCCGUGGCCCAGCUAACGCAAUAAG
rnacentral:rRNA from 1 species